ensembl:snRNA U1 U1 spliceosomal RNA
AUACUUACCUGGCAAGGGAGGUACCAUGAUCAUGAAGGUGGUUUACCCAGAGUGAGGCGUAUCCAUUGCACUCCAGAUAUGCUGACUCCUGUGAUUUCCCCAAAUGUGGGAACUUGACUGUAUAAUUUGUGGCAGUGGAGGGACUGUGUUCAUACUUUCCUCCU